UUAGCUGCCAUGACAACAGGAUACAGAGAGAUGCAUUUUCAUAACAAUUGCUAGCAGUGUUGAGAAUCACUGUUACUUGGUGUCAGGGAACAGCUGGCUCUGGGAAGAACACAGCAUUGUUUCUCUUAACUUGUCUGUGUAUGACUCCGCACUUGUGUUAGCAUUCUGACGCUGUAACAAAAUACCUAAGCUAAUGAACUUAAAACAGAGGACAGCUUGAGUUUGGCUCUACGUUUGGAGUUCCAGUCAACGGUUGAUCAGCCCCAUUGCGUUUGGGACUGUGGUAAGGUAAUAUAUCCCGGUGGGAGAGUAUGGCUGAGCAAACCUAUCCGUUCAUGGCAGGUUCAGGAAGAAAGAGAGAACCAAACAGUUUAAACAUGUAUUUCCUCAGAACCCUGACUGAGACAGUUGAAACUAGAAGUGGUCCUGUAAAGCAGGCAAAGAUUAGGGCCUAUAGGCAGAUUAGGGCCAUCUGGCUAGCAAUAAGGACUUUACUAUUGGUGGCUGGUGGAGAGCAAAUACUGUAACACAAGGUGGUUGAAACUCUUGUGGCUGAUGAAUUGGGAUGAGGUGGAAGGAAGGGUACUAACGCAUCACCUGGUACCCCAGUUCCAGUGGUUGCAGGGCAUAAGAGAAGGUAAGAAUGUAGCCGGUAGCUGUAAUUAUAGUGAAUGACAGGGUUAGAGUAGAAUCCCUAGGGACAGAAUAAAAGUACAGGCAACACAGGCACCCAGCUUGUAGUCCUAAAAGAAAUCGUGACUGGAGGACUGAAAGAUGUCUGAGGCAUUUAACUCAGUAGGAAACAAUACUUUCUGGGGCUGGAGAGAUGGCUCAGCAGAGGAAUGCUCCCUGCCCUGGCAGAAGACCUGGGUUUGGUUCUCAGCACCCACAUGGCGGCUCACAGCCACUUGUAACUCUAGUUCCAGGGGAUCCCAUGUCUUCUUCUGACUUCCUCUUGCACCAGGCUAUUUUCCGGGUCCCCAGAUAUAUAACCGAAAUUCUUGUCACUUGAUGCUUGGGGUCUUUUUCCCUUAAAAGGGGUGGCUUUCAUUAUAUGUGUCUGAGUGCUUUGCCUCUGUGUGUGUAUGUGCACUACGUGCAUGCAGGACCCAUGGUGCCCAGGUCCUAUUAGAAGAGUGGUUCUCAACAUGUGAGUUGCAAUGACCCUUUCACAGGGAUCUCCUAAGACUAUCGGAAAACACAGAUAUUUACAUGAUAAUUCAUAACAGUAGCAAAAUUACAGUUAUGAAGUAGCAAAAAAAUUUUUUUUUAUGGUUGGGUGUCACCACAACAUGAGGACCAUUAAAGGAACAUAAAGGGUCGCAGCAUUAGGGAGGUUGAGAAUCACUGUGUUAAAGCGGCACUAGCUCCCAACCACAGAGCCAUCUUUCCAACCCCUAAAAUAUGCAUUUCCAUGUCUUUCAUAUUAUGCCAUCCUGUCAUGAAGGAGGAAGGCAGCACCAGGCAGACUGUCUCCUUUGGGUUCUGGAGGAAGCUUCUUCUUCACACUUGGAAAUCCUGCAAUAGUUAAAAUCCCGCCAUACCUGGUGUCUACAUAACAGGUUGUGUCACACAAGGCUGUCAGCUCCAAGAUGUGCACAGUACAAGACAGGGUUCUACACCCAGUCCAGGCCGUGCUAUAGGCAGCCCUAUGAUGAUACGACCAGGAAAUCCUUAUCAGUGGUUGGGGGAAAGGUCACAUUGAGCCAUAGCUGCAGCUGCGGUUGAAAUACUUCAGGCUCCUGUGAUUCAGUAUAAGACAAAAGGAGGAGUCACUUGUCAUGAACAAAUGACCUUGGCACUUGACAGUGGGCAGGGGUUGCUUUUAUAAAGCAGGCAGGGAGAAAUAGGAUCACAGUUGGCUUGGUGUCCCGCUUGCAUGUCACUUGGUCUGUCUAUGAUCAGCUAUGAUGCUAUAUGGGCCAGUGGCGUGCUCCUGAUAUGGGACAGGCACAGUGACCUAGAGUACAGGAUCCUCAGCAUCAGGGGCCAGUGUCGUGCCAGCAAAUGACCAAAGAGACCUGUGCAGAUGGUUGUUGAGGUUGAGUGUGUUGUUGAGGGGAUUGGGGUAGAGGGGGCUGUGGGUAGUUAUUAUGGUUCCAAGGCUAGCUUCCAAAUGGUAUCUGUUGCUCAUGUCACUAACCUUCCUCUUCAGAUGUUGAAUGUUUAGGUGACCAGCGUUCAGGGAACAGUGUUGAAUUAUUUCUACUCGGUGGUGGUAAAACCUCAUUCAAAGGCUGCCUCACAACAGGUGAUUGUGAUUUGCCUCGGGCACUAGCAGGCGUGUGAUCUUUGCCAGCUACAGAGAGUUUAAUUCUGGGGACUCUGGAGAAGGGAUACAUGGAAGAGCCCGCCCCCAGGACCUGUGGCUGGUGGCUACUCCUCUGCUGUUGCUGCUGCUGCCACUGCCCAGCUGCUGCCCCUGCAACUGCCACCUGCUGCUGCUGCUGCUGCAUGUGCUGCCAGUGCUACUGGUCUCUGCUGGUUCCUGCUGCUGCAGUUGCUGUUGCAUUUGCUAUGCUUGGAUUGCUUGUUUGUUGAACUGCUGGCUCUCCUGACGAUGAAGAUUAGACUUGCCCCAAGGAACCCCAUGCCUCUAUUCAGCAUUUGAGCUAAAGGCUCCAUCUGCAAAUCACCUGGAUAUAAAUGCUUGAGACCAUUCGGCCUUAUGGAUGUGGAGCGCCCAGUCCACCAUGUGCCUAGGCACGAGUUGUAUCCUCCUCACGGAGCCCAGGGCUGCCAGGCUUACAUCCUUACCUUCCAGCUCCGAAGAGGAAGAGCGUUCCUUCUCCCAUCGAUUCCAAAAGCUCCGUUGUCAGAUGGAAUCAUGCCCUGAACCAUUCCUGAAGGGAUGAAGUGGGAUUCAUGUAAGUACAGUUCAAGCUUUCCGUUGGAGGCCCACUCCACACAGAAGAUGUAUCUGAGCCUAUGGGAGGGAAAUGCAUCCAGAAAAGGCAGAGUCUUCAGACAUUCAUGAAUUAUUUUGUCACUUUUUUUUUCCUUUUGGACAGGAUCUCACCAAGUUGUCCAUGCUAACCUGGAAUGACAUUGUAGCUUAGAUGGGCUUAAACUUCACUUCUUUGUCUUAGCUGUCCAAGCACUGAGAUUGCAAAUGUAGACCACCACUCAGUCACAAACUCUUUAAGGUUAGACUAGAGAUCGGUGUGACUAUGGAAAUGAAGGGCUCCCCAAGAGGCUGAUGCAGUGAAUGUUUGGUACCUGGCUGGUGAUGCUAUUUGAAAGGGUCUGGAAGUGUAGGAUGGGUCUCAGGAUGCUUGGGAAUCCUUUAUCUCUGUCUAUCACUGUCUGACUCUAUACUUCCUGUCCAACUGUCCACCCAGAAUUAAGACCAACCUCCAGCACAUACUCCCUACCUCUGUAAUGUUCACUGAAUCCCCUGAAAGUGUGAGCCACUACAAUCCACUCUCCCUUAAGCUGUUCUCUCGGGUACUUUGGUUGGAGCUUUAAAGAAAGUGACUUUUACUCCCAGUGUGUUUUUCUGUUAUGGAUGAGAGCAAGCAUUGUAGGCUUUGGCCAUAUGGGUCUGUGCCAUUUUCUCCCAGACUGACUUUCUGUAACUUCUAAAAGAUACAGCCCCCCCCCCCCCUCCGCCCUCCCGUGAGAGUUGGAACUGGUCCUUGGGUCAUACACUAUUACGUCCUGAAUUAAACUGAUUUCUUUUUUUUCUGGUCCCAGUGUUAUAUUUUAUGCACAGAACUUUCAAGAUACGUUGGAAGACAGAGCUCUAAUUUAGAAGUAUAUGAGAGCAGAGGCUGCUCAUUUCCUCUUCCCCCUUUCCCUUCAUUCCCCUCUUGCAUUCCUCAGCCCUCCCCAACCACCCUCACUUUAUAAGCUCCAUUCUCUCCCUUCCCCUUUAACCACUCAACAUCCAGCCACCAGAAGAAAGUCUGAUUACUAAGUACUCAAGAAGUAUAUAUUGCCCAGCCCAAAGCUAUUUCUCGAAGCUUCCAUUUCCUCAGGUGUAGAAGAGAAAGACCUGCAGUCGCUUUUGAGUGAUUCCAGACAGGAGGGCAGAAGAAAAAAAGACCAGGCAGAAAUCGAGUAAGCUAAUUUUUUGUCCUGGCUUCACCAUGACUUUGGGAUUUGGGACAAAUGACAUCUUUGCAUCCUUUCUGUUUCCCCCUCUUAGGUUAGGAAAUGGCCUGCAUCUUCCACAGCUCAAGGUUAGAUGGCAGAAAGGAAGCAUCACAAACCAGCCAGAGGAAUGGAGAUGAGGAGGGAACUGUGGGUAGUGUGGCUGGACUUUGGACAGGAAUUUUGUCUGGGAAGCAGUCUAAGGAUUGCUAAAGACCAAAGCUGACUUCCAAACACAGUUCUAAUGGAAGGAGAUUGGCCAGCUCAUUGUCUUCAAAAGUCAUUUAGAGGCCCUCUCCUGCAGAUAGGGAGACUCCUAGCUCUUCUCUAGUAGGAUGGCAUGUCACUAUGUUUGUGUUAAGAACUGCCUUUCAUGAAACACAUGGCAGACAUGUGGAAGGAGAGAAAUUAUCCUCUAUGUAAACAUUGUCCAGUAAAUUAAUCAAACUUCUACUGAGCAUUUGCUAAAUGUCAGGUGCUUAGUUAUACGCCUCAAAGAUGGAGAGCAGAUGGCUUCCUCCCUCAGGGAGGUUUAAUCUGGAGAUUUGAAUGGAGAAUCAUUUAAAACUAACCAGGAAAACAGAAACACCUCUGUUUAAAAUGAAGGAAUUUUAAUGCAAAAGAAAUGGCUACACGGGUGAUAGUGAUGUCGAGAAGCUAAGAGGUAAGGAAGAGGAGAGGAAGAGAAGAGGAUGAAGAGAUGAGGAUGAAGUGACCCAGGAGACGGCAUGGUCCAAUUGCUAUGGUGACUUUUUAGAGGCACAGAAAAAGAAGUCCCAAAGUAAAUGGUGGUAAUGUUGGAGCUUAUGUGGAAAUGGUGGGAAGAGGAUGGAAGGACUCAGAGUGAGGCCAGAAUCAGCACCAGGUGACUUUGUGCCAAGAUGUGGGAGGAGGUCUUCAUUAGUAAGGAAUCACAUUUGAUGGUGAAAGGGAUGGCGGCAUCACUGUAAAUGUGGUCAGUGGUGGCUUCUCGCCAGGCCAGGGCCAAGUUCAGGUGGCAUCAUGACAGAAUAGGUUUACCUCAGAGAAUCAUUGAGGUGACUAUGAAAACUACAGUUCCCAGGGAGAAGACAACCAGCCGACUGUCUUAGUCAAGAGACAUUAAAGGAGAUAGAGUGAUGGCAAGCGACUACCACAGAAAGGGACCAUUCCUUACCUGUUUCUUUUGCCAGAGGUGAGCAAAUUUUCAAAUAGGAGGUGAGAACUGGCUUUAUGCAGUUCUAAUGAAGGAAUGUCUUUGCAGCAUCAAAACAAACACACACAUGAAGCCUAGUGAUUCCUCUAGGCUUCAUGUGCAAGUCACCUCAAGGAGACUCAGCCAGCUACAGGAGUAGAUCUGUGCUGAGUGGUAAGAGGGUGCCCCAGGACUCCAGUGACUGGUGGGCAAUGGAUCUUAGCUGACAGUGGCAUUAUGGCCCUCUGUUAAUGGAAAGGAGCCAGGAUCUCACUAUGUAGCUCGGCCCAUCCUGGCUCUCACCUGAUCACUAUGAAGAUCAAGCUGGCUAAGAAUGGCUUUACCAUGGCUGGCACGUCUGAAGUUCUUAAGUGUGUAAUGGGAUGGACAGUCUUCAUGGCUAGCUUGGAGUGUUACUUGUCUUGUGGGUCAGAAUUGCCACAGUGGGGAAAUGUAAGUGAAAAGCAGACCCUCUCCUGCCACCGCCCCUGCAUCUUCAGCACGGUAAAGAGUCAGCUAAGGAAAUGGAAGAAAAUGCCAGUUGGCAGAAGCUAAGUGUGCUGAGCUGGCGGCCCCAGUUACAUUGUCAUUCAUUUUUGAUGAAUGGAGAACUCAGGCCUCUGUGAACCCAGAUGGAUUCUGGUAGAUGACAAUGGAGUUCUCUAACCUUAGCUACGAAGCAGCUACUACACCAGAUGUGGCAUCUUCACUCGAACAGAUAAAUAACUAAGGACAUUAAUCUGCUUCCAGAAAAAAAAAAGACUUUCCUCCAGCACAGUCAAGCAUCAAACACUAAUAAAACACAGGGAGGGUCUACGAGGAUGAAUAAGAAACCUUGCAAAGCAAUCAGAAAGCAGUAAGUUCUGUUCUAGAAAGUUCCAUUCUAAAAGGUCAAUGUCUUCUUCUGUGCAGAGACCAAACCAUAGUCCUGGAUGAAUACUCGCAGUGGCACACUCUAUACCAUGUGACCCAGUGCCUUUGGCCAGCUCAGUUGCACCAGAGGGUCUGAUCCACGGUAACUGACCUCACGGGGGGCCAAGGGAUAGGUGAUCUGGUGUGGAAACACGACAACGCGUCAGAUCUCAUUCUCCACUCGGGAGCCUGGAUUGGGGAGACGGAAGCUGAGCUGGCUAGCUGUCAUGCACAGGGGAGUCAGUGUGAGAAUGUCACUGAAGACGCAUUGAAACAGGGAGAAGAGGGGAUUGUGGGAAGAGAGGGAGGGGACUCUUGAUGCUUCCUGGUCAUCCUGGACAGAUUUCUGGGGACCCUAUGUGCUUUUGUUCUUACUUUUAGGCUCCGUGAAAGCCCUCUGAGGAUAUCCCCUGGUUGAGUUAGAGUGAGUGGAUAGGGAGAGCUUGCCUAGCAUUGGAGCCUGCGGGGUACCACUUCUUGUCUGACUUUACCACUAACUCUCUAGUACGAUUAGAUAUUUUCUAUGUAUUGCUUUCAUCUUUCUUCUUAGGCUAUGAGGCAGUGUUCUGUGUAGUUGAGGAAAGGUUAACCUUGGUAGUAAUAAUGUUAUGAAUAAUAAUAGUUCAUAUUAACUCAACUUUUACUGCGUGCCAGGCACAGUGUUGGGCACUUUACCCUCGCUAUGUUCAGCAGGAAGGGACUCCCCUGGGAAUUGCUGCUGUAGCCAUUGUUGUCAAUGUGACCUGACUUCCUCUGCUCUGACUGUACAGCCACAGGAAGUGACCUGCCACACACAGCUGGUGGAAGGACAGAGGUAUCCACUCUUGGGGUAGUUAUCUUUUUCUUCUCAGCAAAAGUGGUUCAUACACACUAGUGAAAAUUUGAAAACAUCUAGAAGCAGAACUACAAAAACAGUCCAAUAUUCUGUCCACUACAGAUACGUUGUCAAUAUUGUGCUGUCUGUUCCCCCCCCCUUUGCUUUGAAAGCUUUACAACGUCAAAUCUGAACCCUUUUCAUGCCAUUAAAUGUGCUUCUCCUAUGUAA